GAUGAACGCUGGCGGCGUGCCUAAUACAUGCAAGUCGAGCGAACGGACGAGAAGCUUGCUUCUCUGAUGUUAGCGGCGGACGGGUGAGUAACACGUGGAUAACCUACCUAUAAGACUGGGAUAACUUCGGGAAACCGUAGCUAAUACCGGAUAAUAUUUUGAACCGCAUGGUUCAAAAGUGAAAGACGGUCUUGCUGUCACUUAUAGAUGGAUCCGCGCUGCAUUAGCUAGUUGGUAAGGUAACGGCUUACCAAGGCAACGAUGCAUAGCCGACCUGAGAGGGUGAUCGGCCACACUGGAACUGAGACACGGUCCAGACUCCUACGGGAGGCAGCAGUAGGGAAUCUUCCGCAAUGGGCGAAAGCCUGACGAAGCAACGCCGCGUGAGUGAUGAAGGUCUUCGGAUCGUAAAACUCUGUUAUUAGGGGAGAACAUAUGUGUAAGUAACUGUGCACAUCUUGACGGUACCUAAUCAGAAAGCCACGGCUAACUACGUG
rnacentral:rRNA from 1 species